UACGGAGGAUGCAAGCGUUAUCCGGAAUGAUUGGGCGUAAAGCGUCCGCAGGUGGCUAUGUAAGUCUGCUGUUAAAGAGUGAGGCUCAACCUCAUAAGAGCAGUGGAAACUACAUAGCUAGAGUGCGUUCGGGGCAGAGGGAAUUCCUGGUGUAGCGGUGAAAUGCGUAGAUAUCAGGAGGAACACCGGUGGCGAAGGCGCUCAUCUGGCCCAAUACUGACGCUGAGGCGCGAAAGCUAGGGGAGCAAACGGG
rnacentral:rRNA from 1 species